AUUGAACGCUGGCGGCAUGCCUAACACAUGCAAGUCGAACGGCAGCACAGCAGUAGCAAUACUGUGGGUGGCGAGUGGCGGACGGGUGAGGAAUACGUCGGAAUCUGCCCAGUCGUGGGGGAUAACUAGCCGAAAGGUUAGCUAAUACCGCAUACGACCGAGAGGUGAAAGCGGGGGACCGCAAGGCCUCGCGCGAUUGGAUGAGCCGACGUCGGAUUAGCUAGUUGGCGGGGUAAAGGCCCACCAAGGCGACGAUCCGUAGCUGGUCUGAGAGGAUGAUCAGCCACACUGGAACUGAGACACGGUCCAGACUCCUACGGGAGGCAGCAGUGGGGAAUAUUGGACAAUGGGCGGCAAGCCUGAUCCAGCAAUGCCGCGUGUGUGAAGAAGGCCU
rnacentral:rRNA from 1 species